rnacentral:tRNA from 1 species
GGCCUGUUAGCUCAGUUGGUUAGAGCGUCGUGCUAAUAACGCGAAGGUCAUGGGUUCGAUCCCCAUAUAGGCCA